rnacentral:rRNA from 1 species
GACGAACGCUGGCGGCGCGCUUAACACAUGCAAGUCGAGCGAUGAAAUUUCGACAGAUCCCUUCGGGGUGAAGAUGAAAUGGAUUAGCGGCGGACGGGUGAGUAACACGUGAGUAACCUGCCUUAGACAUUGGGAUAGCCUCGGGAAACCGGGAUUAAUACCAAGUGAAAUCACAUAUGCACAUGCAUAAAUGAUCAAAGCUCCGGCGGUCUAAGAUGGACUCGCGUCCCAUUAGCUAGUUGGUGAGGUAACGGCCCACCAAGGCGACGAUGGGUAGCCGGCCUGAGAGGGUGAACGGCCACAUUGGAACUGAGAAACGGUCCAAACUCCUACGGGAGGCAGCAGUGGGGAAUAUUGCACAAUGGAGGGAACUCUGAUGCAGCGACGCCGCGUGAACGAAGAAGGCUUUCGAGUCGUAAAGUUCUUUUAUAUGGGAAGAUAAUGACGGUACCAUAAGAAAAAGCCCCGGCUAACUACGUGCCAGCAGCCGCGGUAAUACGUAGGGGGCUAGCGUUGUCCGGAAUCACUGGGCGUAAAGGGUUCGCAGGCGGAAAUGCAAGUCAGGUGUAAAAGGCAGUAGCUUAACUACUGUAAGCAUUUGAAACUGCAUAUCUUGAGAAGAGUAGAGGUAAGUGGAAUUUUUAGUGUAGCGGUGAAAUGCGUAGAUAUUAAAAAGAAUACCGGUGGCGAAGGCGACUUACUGGGCUCAUUCUGACGCUGAGGAACGAAAGCGUGGGUAGCAAACAGG